rnacentral:ncRNA from 1 species
UUAAAUUACAGCGCCAGGACAAACAAAGCUAAAACCAUUAGCAAUCACACACAGUUUGUUGACGAGGAUAGGAUUUAUCGAAAGACUCGGCGGAUGAUCCUAUGGCAUGCUUACUGUCAGAAAUAGCACACAAAAACUAGCAGAAAUGCUAAAACAAAAGUGC